UCUCUUAGUAAGGGCGACUGAAAAGGGAAGAGCUCAUGGUGUGAAUCUGUGCUUUUGUACGGAAUUGUGGCCUGUUGACUUCGUCUCCAAUUGUCCGGGCCAAAUCCCUUGGAACAGGGUAGCUGAGAGGGUGAUACUCCCGCACGCCCGGACUUUUGAGAUGGAUGUCUAUGAGUCGAGUUGUUUGGGAUUGCAGCUCAAAGACGGUGGUAAAUUCUAUCCAGAGCUAAAUACCUGUGGGAAACCGAUAGCGUACAAGUACCGUGAGGGAAAGAUGCAAAGAACUUUGAAAAGAGAGUUAAAGAGUACCUGAAAUUGCUGAAAGGGAAGCGAAGGAAACCAGUGUCGCCACAAACAUACUUCUCGGUCCGCGUGCGGGUCGGGCGCUGUGUCUGUGUCACUGCCAAUCUCGAUUGGCAUUGCUCGAAUGGGACUGCUGUUCAGUAUUGCUGUAGUCUACCGCUGCGAUGUCGAUUGGGCUUGCCUAAAUGGUUUUCUUUUCCCCGUCUUGAAACACGGACCAGGGAGUCUAACAUGUGUGCGAGUGUUGAAGUGGAAAGCUUCAAUGCGCAAUGAAAGUAACAGUGGUUGGACCCUUGGGGCACAAUCCGCCGGCCUCAAUCUUUCGAGAGAAUGGUCUGAGUGUGAGCACAAAUGUUGGGACCCGAAAGAUGGUGAACUAUGCCUGAAUAGGGUGAAGCCAGGGGAAACUCUGGUGGAAGCUCGUAGCGAUUCUGACGUGCAAAUCGAUC
rnacentral:rRNA from 1 species